GACGAACGCUGGCGGCGUGCUUAACACAUGCAAGUCGAGCGGUAAGGCCCUUUCGGGGGUACACGAGCGGCGAACGGGCGAGUAACACGUGGGUGACCUGCCCUCAGCUCUGGGAUAAGCCCGGGAAACUGGGUCUAAUACUGGAUAUGACUCCACGGUGCAUGUCGUGGGGUGGAAAGCCUUGUGCGGCUGAGGAUGGGCCCGCGGCCUAUCAGCUUGUUGGUGGGGUGAUGGCCUACCAAGGCGACGACGGGUAGCCGGCCUGAGAGGGCGACCGGCCACACUGGGACUGAGACACGGCCCAGACUCCUACGGGAGGCAGCAGUGGGGAAUCUUGCGCAAUGGGCGAAAGCCUGACGCAGCGACGCCGCGUGAGGGAUGACGGCCUGGUGUAAC
rnacentral:rRNA from 1 species